GGUGGCAGGAUUCGAACCUAUGGCCGGCCCGCCCCUGACCUAAGAAGAUAAAAACGAUUAUCCUUAUGACCAAACAGCGAGAGUUUCACGAUCCCGACCAGCAUCAAUAUAUGGUAGACGUAGCUGUCAUUUCUCCUUCAUCCGCAGAGAAGAGGCAAAGUCUAUCUCUUUACAUGGCAUCUGGUGAUGCAAUGGGAUUGAGCUAGCUAAGCUCAUUUGUUGAAGCGGUUACACUUUUAUACGAUGCCACCACCUCUUUCAUCUUGCCCUCGCUGGGACUGCCCAUCUUUCACUCUACUUAGAUGAAGCCUCUGAAUCCAGAUCGAAGAGACUCUUUUAGGAGCGACUUAGGCCCAGAGGAUCUAUCUCAUCUUACCAUACGCGCCCAGUGGAUAAGAUAUAUUGCUGCGUAAUGACCGUACCCUUAUAUGUACAUCUUAACUGAACAAGUACUAUAACUAAGAGAGUCGCCUGUGUUCAGACAGAGGUACUAGGAAGAUAGAUAAUGGUUUAUUCUUGGGUCCUAUCCAGAGGGCAUGUAUAUCGCCAUAGGAGUACCUUCUUAGAGAGAGUGCCUAUCUAUCCCUUUUCCGAAUCAAUCAUAGCAGGCCUCAUCAGCCCGCUUGAGGAAAGUCGGGUAUCGGGUGGUAAUUGACAACCAGACUUCAUCUUCUCACCAGACGAAUUAUUAGAUUCAUUCUUCUUCUCCGGCUUUGAGGCCGUGACCGCACCCAUGGCAGUUUGAAGAUCGGUCUUCUGAAGGAAAUCUUUCAUGCUGUCUUAAAUCCUUGUUUUCAAUCUGUAUAUCCAACCCAAGAGUUGUACCGCAGACUUUCUAUUAGCAUAGAAUACAGAGUUCCCUUUGUCGUGCAGUGAAGGGUACUGCGUCAACAGAGUGGCCAAGGCUAACUAAC